CGAUUACUAGCGAUUCCGACUUCAUGCAGUCGAGUUGCAGACUGCAAUCUGAACUGAGACCGGUUUUUAGGAUUUGCUCCACCUCGCGGUAUUGCUUCCCAUUGUACCGGCCAUUGUAGCACGUGUGUAGCCCUGGACGUAAGGGCCAUGAUGACUUGACGUCGUCCCCACCUUCCUCCCCAUUGUCUGGGGCAGUCCCCUUAGAGUUCCCAGCAUAACCUGUUGGCAACUAAGGGCAAGGGUUGCGCUCGUUGCGGGACUUAACCCAACACCUCACGGCACGAGCUGACGACAGCCAUGCAGCACCUCUAUGGCCGUCCCGAAGGAGGACUCACUUUCAUGAGUUUGCGACCACAGUUCAAGCCCAGGUAAGGUUUUUCGCGUUGCAUCGAAUUAAACCACAUGCUCCACCGCUUGUGCGGGCCCCCGUCAAUUCCUUUGAGUUUCAACCUUGCGGUCGUACUCCCCAGGCGGGACACUUAAUGCGUUAGCUGCGGCGCUGAUCUCAUAAAGACCAACACCUAGUGUCCAACGUUUACUGUGCGGACUACCAGGGUAUCUAAUCCUGUUUGCUCCCCGCACUUUCGCGCCCUCAGUGUCAGUAUCGGACCAGGUAGCCGCCUUCGCCACCGGGGGUUCUUCCUGAUAU
rnacentral:rRNA from 1 species